GACGAACGCUGGCGGCGUGCUUAACACAUGCAAGUCGAGCGGUAAGGCCCUUUCGGGGGUACACGAGCGGCGAACGGGUGAGUAACACGUGGGUGACCUGCCCUCAGCUCUGGGAUAAGCCUGGGAAACCGGGUCUAAUACUGGAUAUGACUCCAUGACGCAUGUUGUGGGGUGGAAAGCCUUGUGCGGCUGAGGAUGGGCCCGCGGCCUAUCAGCUUGUUGGUGGGGUGANGGCCUACCAAGGCGACGACGGGUAGCCGGCCUGAGAGGGCGACCGGCCACACUGGGACUGAGACACGGCCCAGACUCCUACGGGAGGCAGCAGUGGGGAAUCUUGCGCAAUGGGCGAAAGCCUGACGCAGCG
rnacentral:rRNA from 1 species